UACGUAGGCAGCGAGCGUUGUUCGGAGUUACUGGGCGUAAAGGGUGUGUAGGCGGUUCUUUAAGUUUGGUGUGAAAUCUCCCGGCUCAACCGGGAGGGUGCGCCGAAUACUGAGGGACUAGAGUACGGGAGAGGAAAGUGGAAUUCCUGGUGUAGCGGUGAAAUGCGUAGAUAUCAGGAGGAACACCGGUGGCGAAGGCGGCGUUCUGGACUGUCUCUGACACUGAAGAACGAAAGCCAGGGGAGCAAACGGG
rnacentral:rRNA from 1 species